rnacentral:rRNA from 1 species
UACGUAGGGUCCGAGCGUUGUCCGGAAUUACUGGGCGUAAAGAGCUCGUAGGUGGUUUGUCGCGUUGUCCGUGAAAACUCACAGCUUAACUGUGGGCGUGCGGGCGAUACGGGCAGACUGGAGUACUGCAGGGGAGACUGGAAUUCCUGGUGUAGCAGUGAAAUGCGUAGAGAUCAUGAGGAAGACCAGUGGCGAAGGCGGGUCUCUGGACAGUUCCUGACACUGAGACACGAAGGCCAGGGGAGCAAACGGG